rnacentral:rRNA from 1 species
CCUACGGAGGCAGCAGUGGGGAAUAUUGCACAAUGGGGGGAACCCUGAUGCAGCGACGCCGCGUGAGUGAAGAAGUAUUUCGGUAUGUAAAGCUCUAUCAGCAGGGAAGAAGAUGACGGUACCUGACUAAGAAGCACCGGCUAACUACGAGCCAGCAGCCGCGGUAAUACGUAGGGGGCAAGCGUUAUCCGGAUUUACUGGGUGUAAAGGGUGCGUAGUCGGCAGGGCAAGUCUGGAGUGAAAGCCCGGGGCCCAACCCCGGGACUGCUUUGGAAACUGCCAUGCUAGAGUGUUGGAGAGGGAAGCGGAAUUCCUAGUGUAGCGGUGAAAUGCGUAGAUAUUAGGAGGAACACCAGUGGCGAAGGCGGCUUACUGGACAGUAACUGACGUUGAGGCUCGAAAGCGUGGGGAGCAAACAGGAUUAGAUACCCCGGUAGUC